rnacentral:lncRNA from 1 species
CGAUGACUCAUGUCUGUGACAGUACCAAUCAUUCAGUCAAGUUCAACUUUUUUCUUCCUGUUCAUCUCAUUUUGUUUGCGGAGUACAUUACUGGUUCUCUGCCUGAUCAAUAUGCACCAGAGCAGACCCUACCUCGAGUGGAUCUAGGCUGGUCAUCCACCCAGAGGAAGGCCUCAGCGUCCUGCUUUGAUCAAGACAUUUCUCUGCUCCGCUGCAGGGCGCUUCGUGAACACAAGGGGGCACUCCACGCCUGCACUUCACUAUAAGGCUGCAGAGAACAGGCGUUGAAGCCCAUGGAGGGCAGGAGGAGGACGGCAGUGGUGAGGUGAGGAGGACAUUAUGGAUGGACAGGCAGCAGGAGAGCAUCCAGGAACAAUCUACUGCACAGACUCACAGUGGUCCUCACUACGGAUCACACAGGCUACCGUGAACAGUACUGUGCACUGGUGUGAAGUGGGUGACUACAAAUUAGCUUUGAACAAAUGCAAUGCGUUGUCCGGGUCACAACCCUGCAGGGCUUCCUCUGUGAUCAGAGCAAUCAACUGUGGAUCAUCACUGUUGAACACUGGGCCCUCUUGAGGGCUUCAGCGUUACACACUCAGGAAGAACACGAUGCAGCAGAAAGGAUGAAGGUUUGGAUUCUGACCUCGACCCUACAAAUGACUUGACACUGGAGCAUGUUUAAUUGAACAUCAUUAGACAGGCAAUUUGAAUAGAAUGACGCACAAAUGCAACACAAAUAGUCCUUUUACUAAACCAGGUUAUUGUCUGACGGCUCUGGCCCUCCUGGCUGCUUCCUUCUUCCUCCUUCUCUUCCUUCUCUUCUUUGUCCCGGCUCCCCCCCUCUCCCCCAGGCCGCUGGGAGCAGCAGAGUCGCAGCGUGUUACAAGCCUUGGUAGAAGGUCGCUCUUCAUCCAGCCCUCCAUGAGGCAUGAAGGAUGUCCAUGUAGUGGUCCAGCUGUGGUCAGUCUGGGACCACUGAUGUAGAGGAGGCUCUCCCUGUGGACCCCAGCAUUGUGCCGGCUGUGGGGUGCUGUCUGAGAUCCCUUCCUGCUGACAGAGGAAGAACGCCAUCCUCAAUACCAUUCUAGCUUCAAGAAUGAACAAAAUGACGUGAAUGCCAGAAUGACCUUGACGCAGAGUUUUUUUACGAGUUCAGUGCAAUGCUAUUGCCAGAAAGGCCAGCCAGCCCACUCUGUCAGCCAGCCAGCCCACUGGCAGGCUGGUUCCUCGUAACCAGCAGGGUACUGAGCCCUUUACAGGCUGCUUCCUCAUAACCAGCAGGGUACUGAGCCCUUUACAGGCUGGUUCCUCAUAACAAGCAGGGUACUGAGCCCUUUACAGGCUGGUUCCUCAUAACCAGCAGGGUGUACUGAGCCCUUUACAGGCUGGUUCCUCGUAACUAGCAGGGUACUGAGCCCUUUACAGGCAGUUUGAGGCUUCAAGGACCACUUGACCCGUGUCGUAGAACAAUUCAGACUGGCCUUAACCGCUUCAGGCUAGUGUGGUGCAGUGUUGUAUUUUUAUUCUGAAACGCUGUGGUUACUGCUAACACCAUAGUGCCGAACCACCAGGGUUCCAUCUGCUGUGUAGCCUAAAGGACACACACCGCCACGCAGGCCUACAUACAUGACCCCCCUUAACCCUAGCCCCUCAAAGGGCAAGACAAAACUCUUUCACAACAAGGAAGAGACCUUGAGUAUGACCCCAGAUUGGGGAUCCCUCCUUCCAGGGAUGGUACGGAGUGCAAUGGGUGCCAUCAUUUAUAGACAAAGUAGUAAUACAAACAAACAUUUGUAAACCAAUGUAGGAAAGAGUAUUCCAGAACCCCGCUCCCAAUCCCAGCUACAAACAGAGUCAUGGUUAGAUGGGGCAGGGUGGACCAGAAACAUGUAGGCCCUCUAAUCAGCCCUAGGAGCCAAACUAAAGAGUACAGAGGUACAUUUUAGGUGAUGAUCCAUGGAUUGCUCGUGAUAGGGGAACAGAGCUGCUUCCUGCUAAUUUCUUUCGUUUGUGUUUGUGUGUUUGUCUCCUUAAUCCAAAUGAUGUGAUUUGAAUCAGUCAUUAUGUUAAACUAUUGAUGUGUGUUUGUUUAGUUUAGCAUUCAUUUUGCAUUUGUGUGUGUGUGUGUGUGUGUGUGUGUGUGUUAUUCUUAAAGUCAAAGGAAUUUAGAUUAUUAGAUAGAGAUUAGCAAUAUUCAUUUUCUAGUUCCCUAUUGCAAGAACGACAAUACCCUAUUAGCCACAGUUGGUAAUAUGAAUGAAACGUAUCCCCCUUUUAUCUAGAAACAUAACAUGCGAUAAGUUGUUGAUAAUGGACCCCAACUCCAAACGUCCCCACUUAUUGGUCCCCUGAAUCGGAAGCAUACUGCCAACUAUGGUGCCUUAAUCCCAGACAUUACACAAGCUGCAAACCUUUAAUAACUUAAUCAACACAGUGAUCAUAAAAGACAGCAGUAAUACAGAAUAGAUUGGCCUAUUGGUCAUCUUGCUACGUUUAGAUAUUGAAUAUCCUAAUGCACCAGCUACUAAGUAAGAAAAUACCUGGAUUACAUAACCUAAUGUAUGAUAAAGGAAAUACUUUCAUCUACCAAGUACAUCAUGGUAAAUGUCUUUACUCAUCAAUGUAUCCGUUGACAAUAUAAAUUAGGAUGUAAAACUCUAUAACUUAAGCCUGUUGACCGGCUGCUUUCUUAGUUACUCACGGAGAAAAUGUCCAAAUGAACCAUUGAUAAACUUGCCAGCCAGUAACAAUAAUCAAAUACUUCUUGACCCUCUAUCACGCUGACUUUUGCUUGAUUACAAUUACAUUCUAACAACAAUUAACAUGUAUGGCAUCUAAAUGAAUAUGGUCCUCUCUCCCUCCCUCUCUCAGACUAUUUAAAGGAACGAAUGGUGAUCCACUAAUUCAGUGGACCUUGUCUUGUCUGUCUUUAUCUGAGAUCAUCAAACCACUGCACC